AUGCCAAUUAAUUUAACUUGGGAGUCAGAACAUGGGUGAUAAGGUCCGUGUUCGAAAGGGAAACAGCCCAGACCACCAGCUAAGGUCCCAAAAUAUAUGUUAAGUGGAAAAGGAUGUGGCGUUGCCCAGACAACUAGGAUGUUGGCUUAGAAGCAGCCAUCAUUUAAAGAGUGCGUAAUAGCUCACUAGUCGAGUGACACUGCGCCGAAAAUGUACCGGGGCUAAACAUAUUACCGAAGCUGUGGAUUGUCCUUUGGACAAUGGUAGGAGAGCGUUCUAAGGGCGUUGAAGCAUGAUCGUAAGGACAUGUGGAGCGCUUAGAAGUGAGAAUGCCGGUGUGAGUAGCGAAAGACGGGUGAGAAUCCCGUCCACCGAUUGACUAAGGUUUCCAGAGGAAGGCUCGUCCGCUCUGGGUUAGUCGGGU
rnacentral:rRNA from 1 species